GGGAUCGAGGGCUGCAACUCGCCCUCGUGAACCCGGAAUCCCUAGUAACCGCGGUUCUCAUACCGCGGUGAAUACGUCCCUGCCCCUUGUACACACCGCCCGUCAACUCACCCGAGUGGAGCUGGGGCAAGGUCCCAGCUCCAAAAGAGCUGGGAUCGAGCCUUGGCUCCGCGAGGGGGGGUAAGUCGUAACAAGGUGGCCGUAGGGGAACCUGCGGCUGGAUCACCUCCCA
rnacentral:rRNA from 1 species